AUAUCAGUCAUGCAUAGCAUAUCAAUAAGCGGAGGAAAAGAAACUAACAAGGAUUCCCUUAGUAACGGCGAGUGAAGCGGGAAGAGCUCAAAUUUGAAAUCUUCAAGGUUCUACCUUGACGAAUUGUAGUUUAUAGAAGUGUUUUCUGUUAGUAGAGUGGCAAAAGUUCUUUGGAAUAGGACAUCAUAGAGGGUGAGAAUCCCGUAUUUGGUCAUUCCUCCUAGCGUUGUGAUACACUUUCAACGAGUCGGAUUGUUUGGGAAUGCAGUCCAAAAUGGGUGGUAAAUUUCAUCUAAAGCUAAAUAUUGGCGAGAGACCGAUAGCGAACAAGUACCGUGAGGGAAAGAUGAAAAGAACUUUGAAAAGAGAGUUAAACAGUACGUGAAAUUGUCAAAAGGGAAGCGUUUGACACCAGUGUUGUUUUUCCGAAAAUCAAUUACGAAUGUUUUGUUUUUGAGGAGUUAUGACUUCAUCGGCUUGCUUCUCUCUUUACUGAAACUUUCUUAAUGCACUUUUCGGUUAACAAGUCAACAUCUAUUUCUUUUGUUGUAAAAGGGUAUGAGGAAGGUGGCUUUCUUUUCGGAGAAAGUGUUUAUAGCCUUGUGCCUCUGCAAUCGGAGAGAUUGAGGUCUGCAGCGUAGAUCCUUCGGGGUUAGAUACAGUUUGUGCUAAGUUAUAGCUUUUCAUAGACAACUUGUUGACUAUGUUAGUCUUGUAGCUUACUCGCUUAUGCUAUUUUACCUACGCUUAGGAUGUUGAUCUCUCACAGUCGAGC
rnacentral:rRNA from 1 species